CAGCCGCCACGGGAAUACGUAGGGUGCGAGCGUUAAUCGGAAUUACUGGGCGUAAAGCGUGUGCAGGCGGUUCGUUAAGACAGAUGUGAAAUCCCCGGGCUUAACCUGGGAACUGCAUUUGUGACUGGCGAGCUAGAGUAUGGCAGAGGGGGGUAGAAUUCCACGUGUAGCAGUGAAAUGCGUAGAGAUGUGGAGAAAUACCGAUGGCGAAGGCAGCCCCCUGGGCCAAUACUGACGCUCAUGCACGAAAGCGUGGGGAGCAAACAGGAUUAGAUACCCCGGUAGUCCCUGUCUCUUAUAC
rnacentral:rRNA from 1 species